GCAUUCUUAGCUCAGUUGGAUAGAGCGGCAGCCUUCUAAGUUGUUGGUCGCAGGUUCAAGUCCUGCAGAAUGCA